AGAGUUUGAUCCUGGCUCAGGAUGAACGCUAGCGGCAGGCUUAACACAUGCAAGUCGAGGGGUAACGCGGGGUAGCAAUACUCUGGCGACGACCGGCGCACGGGUGCGUAACGCGUAUGCAACCUACCUGUAACAGGGGUAUAACGGAGUAAAAUUCCACUAAUCCCCCAUAUUGUUAGAGAUUCGCAUGUUUCUCUAACGAAAGCUUCGGUGGUUACGGAUGGGCAUGCGUGACAUUAGCUAGUUGGCGGGGCAACGGCCCACCAAGGCGACGAUGUCUAGGGGAGCUGAGAGGCUUAUCCCCCACACUGGUACUGAGACACGGACCAGACUCCUACGGGAGGCAGCAGUNAGGAAUAUUGGUCAAUGGACGGAAGUCUGAACCAGCCAUGCCGCGUGGAGGAAGAAGGUCCUAUGGGUUGUAAACUCCUUUUGUUCGAGAGUAAUAAGUGGGAUGCGUCCCACGAUGAGAGUAUCGGACGAAUAAGCAUCGGCUAACUCCGUGCCAGCAGCCGCGGUAAUACGGAGGAUGCAAGCGUUAUCCGGAUUUAUUGGGUUUAAAGGGUGCGCAGGCGGCGCGUUAAGUCAGCGGUGAAAUCUCAUGGCUCAACCAUGGAACUGCCGUUGAUA
rnacentral:rRNA from 1 species